GUUUUUUUUGUUCAUGAUACUAAAUUACUGAAUUUAAACCACACUUUAUCAUCACCCAUACAUAUUGCAUUCCUUUGAAUGGCAUUAUUUACCACGGGUACUUUUUUGAUAUAAUAUUUUUCAAGUAAUAAAAUGCAAAUGUAGGUAAUUCAGUAAGGGCAAAUAGCUGUUGCCUUAACCUCCAUAUUUUUUCUGUUUAUGUAGUGUGUACAUACACCUUAAAAUUCUGCUUUGUUGUGAUACCAUGGAUGGGCAAAGCAGCUGAACAAGGACUGGAGCAGCUCUCUGAAUGGCUGGACUGCUGAUAUACAGAAACGAUUGGAAACCUUGACAUUUCUUGGAGAACUUGACAGACACAAAUAACUGGAGGCUUAGUGAGACAUUUCUGAAGCUACUAACAGGCUCCUUUCUUUGGAAAACCGUUUGCUUACACGGUCACUAUAGCUGCUAAUGGCAUUGGAUCAGAACACAGGCUUGUGAAUGGCAAUGAGCUGUUGGUUCUUCUCUGCAGACAGGUGUUCUGUGCCCAUCCCCCUGGUUUUUGCUAUUUCCAGGAGUGGGGAACUGUUUAUAAUUCCUGUUACACUGAGCUGAAUGUUCUACAAAGUACAAUUUCAUUAGUCUUUGUACUUUUAUUGUUGUUCUGAUUGAUCUACGAUAACAUCUAAUGUGAUUCAGCACAAGGAACAUUGCAUUUAUUCAAUGUAAAGAAGAAGAAACUUCACACAAGAAACUUUUCCUGUUUUCCACUCAUCUUUCAAUUCUCUCUGGGAAUUGUAUAUGUUCAAUAUCUGUGUGUUGUUAAUGAGAAAAUUUGUGUGCAUGCCUUUGUUCUAGUGUUACAAUAGUCUUUUUAUGAUGGAAUACAAUGUGAGUAAUUUUUGUUUAUAAACCACAUUGCUUUUCAAUAAAUUGGAAAUGCAGUUUACA
rnacentral:lncRNA from 1 species